rnacentral:rRNA from 1 species
UACAGAGGGUGCAAGCGUUGUUCGGAAUUAUUGGGCGUAAAGAGCUCGUAGGCGGUUCGUCGCGUCGGCUGUGAAAUCCCGAGGCUCAACCUCGGGCCUGCAGUCGAUACGGGCGGACUUGAGUUCGGCAGGGGAGACUGGAAUUCCUGGUGUAGCGGUGAAAUGCGCAGAUAUCAGGAGGAACACCGGUGGCGAAGGCGGGUCUCUGGGCCGAAACUGACGCUGAGGAGCGAAAGCGUGGGGAGCGAACAGG